CUAACUUUCCCUCACGAGUUCCAACAUCAUUUCCGAGUUUUCAUACAUAUAUUUUUUUCAUCUAUAACUUCUGUAAGUUUAUGGAAUUGUGUGUCGCCCAUGUGAACCGAUCCGAUCCAAUCUUAUUUGACCCGUAAAUAAAGAAUUAUUUGUUUUCUAAAUAAAGGAUGAACAAUUCUGUUAUAACUGUUCAACCUUAUCCUUAAAAGGAGGGGGAACAAUUAUAACUGUUCAAAUCCUUUUUGAAAAGGAGAGCGAACGGUUAUCUAAUAACUGCUCAACCUCUCCUAAUAAAAAGGGAAGUCUUCUACUUCAAAAGAGAGAGCACGAGAGACAUUACGUAGAAAACAAAAGGAAAAACCGAAAAAGAAGGAAAAAACAAUCCUAACUUUCUAGAUUACAUCAUCACACUAAGAGAUAUUUAGUUUGUGAACUUUAACCUUGAUUUCCUAGUGAAAUCAAAGGAGACUUGGGGCAGACUCUUAUGUUAGCAACAACAACAAUAUCCGCUGCGAAUUUAAGAUAUGGCUGAACAGGAACAUGCUCAAAUUGCUCCAAGUGGGAGUGAUAUUGAUAGAGGAGCAAAAAGAAAUAGUAGAAGAAUGCGUUGCAAGAGGAUCAAAACUUUAGUUGAUUCAGAUUCAGAGCCUGAAAUCAUAAGAAAUGAUUCAAGGAUGAAGCAGAAUCUGAACAGAGAAUAAGGGCACGUUAAAGGGAAGGCAGAAGACUUCUUGAGGAUUUCAAGAAAAUAAAAAUGUCUACUUUUGACUCUUUGCUUGAUUUUCUCAGAUUUUUAGGAUUAAAUUAGAUGAAAUUCAUAGCAAAUUAGAUUAUAAUUAAUUUGCUUGAAUGUGUAUGACGCAUGCAUAAUUGAUAAAUAAGCUUGCGUGAUUGUCUCUUAA